rnacentral:rRNA from 1 species
GACGAACGCUGGCGGCGUGCCUAAUACAUGCAAGUUGAGCGCUGAAGGUUGGUACUUGUACCAACUGGAUGAGCAGCGAACGGGUGAGUAACGCGUGGGGAAUCUGCCUUUGAGCGGGGGACAACAUUUGGAAACGAAUGCUAAUACCGCAUAAAAACUUUAAACACAAGUUUUAAGUUUGAAAGAUGCAAUUGCAUCACUCAAAGAUGAUCCCGCGUUGUAUUAGCUAGUUGGUGAGGUAAAGGCUCACCAAGGCGAUGAUACAUAGCCGACCUGAGAGGGUGCUCGGCCACAUUGGGACUGAGACACGGCCCAAACUCCUGCGGGAGGCAGCAGUAGGGAAUCUUCGGCAAUGGACGAAAGUCUGACCGAGCAACGCCGCGUGAGUGAAGAAGGUUUUCGGAUCGUAAAACUCUGUUGGUAGAGAAGAACGUUGGUGAGAGUGGAAAGCUCAUCAAGUGACGGUAACUACCCAGAAAGGGACGGCUAACUACGUG